rnacentral:rRNA from 1 species
CUAUACAUGCAGUAGAACGCUGAAGAGAGGAGCUUGCUCUUCUUGGAUGAGUUGCGAACGGGUGAGUAACGCGUAGGUAACCUGCCUUGUAGCGGGGGAUAACUAUUGGAAACGAUAGCUAAUACCGCAUAACAAUGGAUGACACAUGUCAUUUAUUUGAAAGGGGCAAUUGCUCCACUACAAGAUGGACCUGCGUUGUAUUAGCUAGUAGGUGAGGUAAUGGCUCACCUAGGCGACGAUACAUAGCCGACCUGAGAGGGUGAUCGGCCACACUGGGACUGAGACACGGCCCAGACUCCUACGGGAGGCAGCAGUAGGGAAUCUUCGGCAAUGGGGGCAACCCUGACCGAGCAACGCCGCGUGAGUGAAGAAGGUUUUCGGAUCGUAAAGCUCUGUUGUAAGUCAAGAACGGGUGUGAGAGUGGAAAGUUCACACUGUGACGGUAGCUUACCAGAAAGGGACGGCUAACUACGUGCCAGCAGCCGCGGUAAUACGUAGGUCCCGAGCGUUGUCCGGAUUUAUUGGGCGUAAAGCGAGCGCAGGCGGUUUGAUAAGUCUGAAGUUAAAGGCUGUGGCUCAACCAUAGUUCGCUUUGGAAACUGUCAAACUUGAGUGCAGAAGGGGAGAGUGGAAUUCCAUGUGUAGCGGUGAAAUGCGUAGAUAUAUGGAGGAACACCGGUGGCGAAAGCGGCUCUCUGGUCUGUAACUGACGCUGAGGCUCGAAAGCGUGGGGAGCGAACAGGAUUAGAUACCCUGGUAGUCCACGCCGUAAACGAUGAGUGCUAGGUGUUGGAUCCUUUCCGGGAUUCAGUGCCGCAGCUAACGCAUUAAGCACUCCCGCCUGGGGAGUACGACCGCAAGGUUGAAACUCAAAGGAAUUGACGGGGGCCCGCACAAGCGGUGGAGCAUGUGGUUUAAUUCGAAGCAACGCGAAGAACCUUACCAGGUCUUGACAUCCCGAUGCUAUUUCUAGAGAUAGAAAGUUACUUCGGUACAUCGGUGACAGUGGUGCAUGGGUGUCGUCAGCUCGUGUCGUGAGAUGUUGGAUAAAGUCCCGCAACGAGCGCACCCCUAUGAUAGCUGCCAUCAUUCAGUUGGGGCAC